rnacentral:hammerhead_ribozyme from 1 species
AUCUAGCUGACGAGCCCCAAAUACGGCGAAGCUCACGUCCUGGAU